AGUGAACGCUGGCGGCAGGCUUAACACAUGCAAGUCGAACGCACCGCAAGGUGAGUGGCAGACGGGUGAGUAACGCGUGGGAACCUUCCCUUUGGUUCAGGAUAGCUCCGGGAAACUGGAAUUAAUACUGGAUAAGAUCUACGGAUGAAAGAUUUAUCGCCGAAGGAUGGGCCCGCGUAAGAUUAGCUAGUUGGUGAGGUAAUGGCUCACCAAGGCAAUGAUCUUUAGCUGGUCUGAGAGGAUGAUCAGCCACACUGGAACUGAGACACGGUCCAGACUCCUACGGGAGGCAGCAGUGAGGAAUAUUGGACAAUGGGCGCAAGCCUGAUCCAGCCAUGCCGCGUGAGUGAUGAAGGCCCUAGGGUUGUAAAACUCUUUUAGAUGUGACGAUAAUGACGGUAGCAUCAGAAAAAGCCCCGGCUAAAUUCGUGCCAGCAGCCGCCGUAA
rnacentral:rRNA from 1 species